GUUAAAAAGCUCGUAGUUGAAUUUCGGGAUCAAAUUGUCGGUCGUGCCUCGGUACGUACUGGUAUUAUUGGUUCCUCCCUUCUGACGAACCACGAUGUCAUUAAUUUGGUGUCAUGGGAAAUCAGGACUGUUACUUUGAAAAAAUUAGAGUGUUUAAAGCAGGCUCGCGCUUGAAUACAUUAGCAUGGAAUAAUGAAAUAGGACGUUUGAUUCUAUUUUGUUGGUUUCUAGGAUCGACGUAAUGAUUAAUAGGGAUAGUUGGGGGCAUUAGUAUUCAAUUGUCAGAGGUGAAAUUCUUGGAUUUAUUGAAGACUAACUACUGCGAAAGCAUUUGCCAAGGAUGUUUUCAUUAAUCAAGAACGAAAGUUGGGGGAUCGAAGACGAUCAGAU
rnacentral:rRNA from 1 species